rnacentral:lncRNA from 1 species
UGCUUAACAGCUUGGAUUGAAGAGGCUUGUCUGGGGGGACUGAGACCUUGCAGAUCAUUCCAGGAGCCGCCUCCAUCCAAGGCCAACAGCUUCAUCAGGCCGCAGGCCUGGGAGAAGGCCUAAUAGCAAUCAGAUGGCGCAAGUGGAAAAUCACGGCGCUCGGCAAGCAAGCUGGAAAUUGGCGGGCUGUGGUGCCUGGUGCCUGCGCUGCUCAGCGGGAGGAUGAGUCAGGAGUGUAGUGCCCAGACUGGGAGAGAUGUGCCUCUGUGGGCAUCUUGAAGGGAAAUGAGAAGCGGAGCUGCCCCUGCACCUGCGCUGGGAGCUGCCUGCCUCCUGCUUGUCCUGGCCAUGUGCGAACCUCAGCGUGGAAGAGGGACUCUCGCACUGCUCCCUGCGCGGCUCAGCUGGCCUCCUGGGGGCAGCCAGCUGGGGCCCAGCUGGAACGCUUGUUUACAUGGGGAGGCCGGGGGAGGCUGAAUCCCGGCGAGUUCCAAGUGUAAUUGCGUUUGGACACUUAAAAGGAAUUGUGUGAAGUGGGCAGAGGCUCUGAAGUCCACCGCCUUAUUUGGUGCUUCUGUGGCCUAUGGUUGCCCUGCUGCUCCCUGGACGAGGGGGUGGGUGUGGACCAGCCCUCGUGGCCCCUCUGCAGCCAGCACCAUCCUCAGUAAAGACUACAGGUCCAUCCACCCACCCAUCCAUCCAUCAAUCCGUCUAUCCAUCCAUUCAUCUAUCAAUCCAUCCAUUCAUCCAUCUAGCCAUCCACCCACCCACUCACCCAUCCACCCAUCCAUUCAUUCUUACCUUAAUUCAACACAUUUGUACUGAACACCAGCAAUGUUGGUGCUAGGAAAAGAAUUGUGGAAGAACCAGACAUGGGGCAUGGGGAGCAGGAGCCACAAGAAACUAAUCCAUGGGGAUGGCCAGGCCUGAUUAGCUGGGGUGGGGCUGGAGGCUCCUCUACAGAGAUGAUGCUUACACUGAGACCUGAAGGAGAAGGAGGAGGUGGCUGCUCACGCAACCCACAGGAAAGUGUUCCAGGAUCAAGAACAGCAGGUGCAAAGGCCCCGUGAUGGAAAGGAUUGGUGCACUAGGAGAACAAAGUGGGUGGCUGCAGGGCAGGAGGGGAGGGUGCAUGUGCAGGCUGGGCAGGAGGGUAGGGCCUUGAGGCACCCUACAGGCCCCUGUAAGUCCAGGCACAGAGCUGCUGCCUUGAGCCCUGAGGUCUGGACAUUCCAGUUUCCCAUCUUUCCAAUGUGGGACUCUCUGCCUUUUCCAAUUCCCCACUUCCCUGAUGCCAGAUACUGCCUGACUGUGUCCAUCUCUCCCCCGUCCCCUGGGCCACCUCCCUGCUGAGACCCCUCACUGGUGCCUCCCAGGUGCAUUCUCCUCGCUGCCCCCAGCAGAGUCCUUCCCACACACCCAGCUCCUCGGUGUGGUGCCUGCCCGUGGGUGGGUGGUGCACCCCACUGGCAUCCCUCCUCUGCCCUGUCCACCUCAACUUCCAGGGCAGCCUGGACACCAGGUUUGGUCUACCUCGUCCACACCCGCCUGCUUCUGUCCCGCCUUAAGCGGAUCCGUGAUGUCCCGUCAUUAGACCUUCAAUUUCAGCACAGGACUGAAUAACUAACCUUCAAAAAGUUUGCAGUAGCCUUGUCACUCCUAAAAAUAACAAAUAAUUCCUUAAACAUCAUUCAACAUCCA